GAAAUGCGAUAAGUAAUGUGAAUUGCAGAAUUCAGCGAGUCAUCGAAUCUUUGAACGCACAUUGCGCUCCUUGGCAUUCCUUUGAGCAUGCCUGUUUGAGUAUCAUGAAAUCUUCAAAGUAAAUCUUUUGUUAACUCAAUUGGUUUCUACUUUGGUAUUGGAGGUCUUUGCAGCUUCACACCUGCUCCUCUUUGUUCAUUAGCUGGAUCUCAGUGUUAUGCUUGGUUCCACUCGGCGUGAUAAGUUAUCUAUCGCUGAGGACACUGUAAAAGGUGGCCAAGGUAAAUGCAGAUGAACCGCUUCUAAUAGUCCAUUGACUUGGACAAUACUUUUAUGAUCUGAUCUCAAAUCAGGUAGGACUACCCGCUGAACUUAAGC
rnacentral:misc_RNA from 1 species